GCACGCCGAGAACUCUUCCAUUUCAUCAUGUCCCUUCUUAGCAGUAGGACGCUGCAUAAUUUUACCUCGUAUAAUUUAAAAAUUCCUUAAUUAUGUAUCUAAUUUUUUUAAACACGGGCUUAAGUGAAAAGUGUGUUUAACAAAAAUUUUAAAGUACUAAAAACUCGUAAGAAGGGACAAAGUCAACAACCGGCAUUUAUCAUCGGCAAAUUAUUGUAUUUAUGCAAUAAAAAUGCGAUUCCAAUUUCAAAUCCUAAUAUUCUGAAAUAAUGUCCGAAAUUGAUAUUGAUUUCAACAUCAAUGAAUUAGACGAAGAAAAUAUCUAAAAAUGCAGAAUAAAUAUGAAAUGAUAGUGAUGCCUAUUAAAAAAAAGGGGAAAGGAAAUCUAUCAACAAUAUUUGAUAUGCUUGAUGAAAUCCACUAGCAAUAUCGAAUAUUAAAACGGAGAUGCAAAAAAAAAAAAAAUUUGAUUGAAAAUCGAGGAAUUUCAUUUGUUUCGCCGGAGAAAUUAUUUGAUUCUCCAACGAUACAAUUCAUCAAGAUUACAUACAAUAGAAGAUGAAAGAAGAAAAGAAAAAUUACUCCGAAAGGAAAAUUUCGCAUCUGGAAGUACGAUUAUUAAAAAUAAAUAAUGAAAAAGGAACCAAGAUUAAAUAUCGAAUUAUUGAUGCAAUAAUUUGGUAAUGUAAAAACAAACAUCUUGUUGCUUAUAUUUUUCGAAUAUAUAAUAAUAAGCCUUUUAAUGUCUUUGUUAGAACACGCAAAAGAAAAGGUUUUAUAAGCGCUUUAAAAUUUUUUACCAUUUUUUAAAAAGUAUAAAUCCUUUGAGGAUAAAAAAAAAACUUUUCAGUUAAGGUGGUCAAUAACAUACGUGGUCAAUUUUAGUAUGUUCGUUUUAUUGUUUCAUUCUUAAAACAUUUGGUCUAGCUACUGAAUCUGCUGUGAUAAUGUUAUAAUGUGUAUAAAAUCAAACUAAAUUAGUUUGGACAUUAUAUUUUUUUUCAUAUGUAUCAGAAAUUCGCAAAAGAAUAUGUUUUUGCAACAAUUGUUAAAUUGCAUGUUAAAAAACCAUAAUGGUUAAAGUUUAUUUGCAAUUCGUAUAUACAUAUUUGACAUUCUGCUACAAAAUGACUUUUUUAGUCUAAGAUCUCUUUUGUCGCAAAAUUGUCACUUGUUUAUAUAUACAAUUAUAUUUUACUAUAAUCUCAAUGAUGCUCACUUACGUAGCUUUGUGCUACAAAUUUUACUUUUGUGAAUUUGUCAAAGUACAAUAUUCCAUUCCUCACGAAACUACUUAGA